rnacentral:rRNA from 1 species
AGAGAGAGACAUGCGCGCAUAUCAAUAAGCGGAGGAAAAGAAACUAACUAGGAUUCCCUCAGUAACGGCGAGUGAAGCGGGAAGAGCUCAAAUUUGAAAUCUUCAAGGUUCUACCUUGACGAAUUGUAGUUUAAAGAAGUGUUUUCUGUUGAAGUUUUGGUAAAAGUUCUUUGGAAUAGGACAUCAUAGAGGGUGAGAAUCCCGUAUUUGACUAUUCUUUCUAGCUGUGUGAUACACUUUCAAAGAGUCGGAUUGUUUGGGAAUGCAGUCCAAAAUGGGUGGUAAAUUUCAUCUAAAGCUAAAUAUUGGCGAGAGAGCCGAUAGCGAACAAGUACCGUGAGGGAAAGACGAAAAGAACUUUGAAAAGAGAGUUAAACAGUACGUGAAAUUGUCAAAAGGGAAGCGUUUGACACCAGUGUUGUUUUCUCGAAAAUCAAUUAAAAAUGGCAGGAUUUUGUGUUGUAUUGACCUUAAAAGCUUUCUUCACUCUUUUCUUGUCUUUCUUAAUGCACUUUUCGGUUAGCAAGUCAACAUCAAUUUCUUUUGUUGUAAAAGGGUAUGAGGAAGGUGGCUUUCUUCUCGGAGAAAGUGUUUAUAGCCUUGUGCCUCUGCAAUCGGAGAGAUUGAGGUCUGCAGCGUAGAUCCUUCGGGGUUAGAUACACUUGUGCUAAGUUAUAGCUUUUCAUAGACAACUUGUUGAUUAUGAUUAGUCUUGUAGCUUACUCGCUUGUGCUAUUUUACCUACGCUUAGGAUGUUGACAGCAGUAUAGACUGU